AGGAGGAGGAAGGAGGAGGAGGAAGGAGGAGACUCAGGCUCUGUUCCUCCCUGCCAGCAUUCAGAGCUCACAGAUAUCCCACAGAUCUUUCCCAUGAGAGAUUCCAGCACAGAAACACCACGGUGUGUCCAAAGGGAAUAUACACAUUGCCAGGAGUUCCCACAAGUUAAAUGACAGAAUUGUCUUCAAAUGGCCACAGCACCAAAGCCUCCUGCUAAUGAGUUGCAGAUCUGCACCGUAAUUGAACAUCCAGAUUGCCACUCACAAAAGAGGGAUGUGGUCAACAAGAACAAAUAACACUAGAGAGCCAAAAAAUUAACAAUUCAGAAGAAAUUUGCCGAGCGGAGAGUACAGAUAAAGAGCCAAAAACUCCAUUUGGCCAAGGAGCAACCUGGAGGGGCAAUGGCAGCUUUUUCUGAUUGUUUCCUCUGACAAAAGUGAGCAGGGAUGCAAGAGUGAGAGAUCAGCACCUGAAAUAAAUCAGUAAAUAAACUGUUAACAUGAAAUAUUAUAAGCAUGGAUCCUUUUUUUUUCAGAA